ensembl:lncRNA
CUCAUGAGCCCCGAUGAAACCAUCAACACUCAGUGCCUUUCUACUCAUGGCUAGGCAAUGAAUGAGUCACGUUAAAUCAUGAGCCUCUUCAGGUCAGUAGCUAGGGUGUCAGAACACCAAAUCUAACAGUGGUAAAUUUCUUUUCCUCAGCUUGCGCCUGGAAGCCUACACUGAGGUGUGAUUCGAAGCCCUGUGGCCCCUCUCACCCUGCUUAUGUCUCUCCCGACUUUCCAGAUGGUGAUGCAGCCCCACCAGGGUGGAUGAGAAGGGAUUAGGAAGGGAUCAUACAGAACAAAUGUCUUCCAUGUGUGCUCAGCUGGUGGCACUGUUUCAGAAGGCCAUUGAACAUCCAAGAAGUGGAGCCUUGCAGGAGAAAUGGGAUUACUGAGAGAGCCCCGCCCUACUUCCUUCCUAGUCUCUCUGUCCUGCUCAUGAAGAUAUAAGGAAUCAAGGUCCAGGUGGUGGUGGCGGCGGCGGCGGCGGCAGCCACACACACCUUUAAUCCCAACACUCUGGAGGCAGAGGAGGUCAAUCUCUGUGAGUUUGAAGCCAGCCUGGUCUACAGAUCGAGUUCCAAGACAGUUAGGUCUACACAGAGAAACCCUGUCUGGAAAAACCAAACCAAACCAAACUGUGUUGUUUUUUGUCAAGUAUUUGGUCACAGAAACAAGAAAUUAACUAAAACCACAUAUGCGGAUGCAUGUGGGAGGUGGAGCCAGGAUCAGACAACUACAUAUCAAGUUUGAGGUCAGUAGCUGGGCGGUGGUGGCACACACCUUUAAUCCCAAUGAAGGGACCAGCUGCCCCUUUCUGCAGCCAUGACAGUAACAUAUGCUCGCCAUGACCUUGCCUUGGUCACCAAGAGGUCAGAUGCCUGCCUCGUGGCAAGGAACUAAUCAGAAGUUAGCUGGUAGUGCUAUGCUUUACCACCCUGGGUGUACUUUACGGACAAGUGCACAGCAAUGACGCACAGAGCAUAGCAACUACCCUGGGAGGGCCUAUGGGCCAUAACAACCAAUUGACCAAUCAACACAGGGCAAGCCCUCCAAGCCUGGAGGCACACCAAUCCUGAACCUGUGUGUACCCCUAGACACUCCCCUUACGCUGUCCUAUAAGAUCUUUAUGCAGACGCCUCGAGCUGUCUUUGCUAGCCAUCCGCCAUGUCAGGUGGGUGAAAGACCCAAGCUAACAUGGGAUGAGCUCGUUAAACAACAAUAAAGCCUCAUGCUGUUUGCAGCAAGCUUUCGAUUCCGCCUGGUGAUUGGGGUGACCGAGGUCCUGGUUUAAGACCCUGGAAGCCUGAGUUUUCCAGGGGUCUAACACCAACACUUGGGAGGCAGAGGCAGGAGGAGCUCUGUGAGUUCGAGACCAGCCUGGACUACAAGAGCUAGUUCCAGAACAGCCUCCAAAGUCAUAGAGAAACCCUGUCUCAAAAACAAACAAAAGUUUGAGGUCAGCCUGGAAUGUAUGAGAUUUUGUUCCACAAAAGACUGUACAGAUGAUACUGCUUUGCUGGGGGUGGGUGGCACAGGCCUUAAUCCCAGGGCUCAGGAGGCACAGACAGGAGGAUCUCUGUGAGUUCAAGGCCAGCCUGGUCUACAGAGCAAGUUCCAGAACAGGCUCCAAAGCUACAGAGAAACCCUAUCUCAAAAAAAAAAAAAAAAAAUGAUACUGCUUUAAUGCCAUCUUGAUUCAGUCCCUGGAAGGAGAGAACUGACUCUGGCAAUUGCCCCUAAUUGCCACAUGAAGGCCAUGGUGUGAGUGUGCCUGUCCUCACACAUACACACAGAUUAAUAAAAAAAAGUUAAAGAACAAAAAGGGCUGUUAAUACAGGAGCUAGUUUGUUUUUUC